CCCCCUGGUAAAUGGUCACUAAAUUGUAAGUGGGCGUUUUAAAGCUGCCUCGGAAGACGCCGCUCCUGAACACAAGGGAAAUGUGAAGAACGACAGGAACUGGUGAGGAACUAUCCAGCCCAAAGGACCAAACGGAAGGUCUGCAGGGUGCUGUGCCCUGCUUUGCCCCCGGGAGGAGAGUCCGCGCACUUCCCAUUGCUUUAUCAAUCUGUGCCCUUUCUUGUCAUAGCAGCAUAAUGAACUGCUCCUCGAUCAACAAA
rnacentral:lncRNA from 1 species